GUCAAACCACUGUCGUGUUGACUGUGUUGUGUUCAAGAUUUUUUUGUUUUGUAUGAUUCAGUUUACCAUUUUUCCGUAGUUUAGCCAUUUGUCGCGUGAAUUUCCCCAAUAAUUUAUUAUUUUUUUAUAAACCGCUUUGUAAAUUUGCAAGGUGGUCACGCAAAAUUUGUUGGAAAUUAUAUUAAGAACGACAUAAUAGGUCAAGGCAAGCGGGGAUAUAUUAUGGUUUCUCCCAUACUUUUGUGAUAAAAAAUUCCAAGUUUAGAAAAACUUUGAAGAUUAUGCUUGUAGAAAAAAGUUGAUAAACAACAAUAUUCGACUAAAAAUCCAAUGGAAUCCAUCAGAAAGUGGUUAUACAAGCCGAAGAAAGAUGACAAAUCUCUGCUAGCCCAAUUCUUCUAUGCUGAUGAAGAACUAAACAAAGUGGCUAACGAACUAGACAGUUUUGAUGGCAGAAAAGACCCGGAGAGAUGUACAACUUUAGUUAAUCAACUUAGACAAGCCCAGGAUUAUGUUCUGAUAAUAAUCAAUGCAAUUAUGGAUGCGGUAAUUGGAGAUGAGAGAGCUAAUAGAGGCUUUAGGGUUAAAUUUCCCGAGGACGUUCUGCAAGAUAAUUUGGCAGGGCAGUUAUGGUUUGGAGCAGAGUGCUUGGCAGCAGGUUCAUCAAUAAUGAACCGAGAAUUUGAAAGCACAUCAAUGCGACCCAUAGCAAAAGCCGUGACAAAAAGUCUGGAGAACGUACGCAAUCUUCUACGCGAAGCCUCUUUAAACAACAACACCCCCAAUGGUCCAAUAAAACUGGACGAUAACGACUGGUUUACCGAAAUGCUUCUCGAAAGCCUUAAAAUUUUUGAUCGACUUUUCGCCGAAUUUGAACUUGCCUACGUCAGCGCCAUGGUUCCGGUAAAAUCCACCCAGGAAUACGAGCUACAAGAGUUGAUCGGAGUGUUGUUCUCUGAAACCCUUCAGAGGGCGCUUAAGAUGAAUUUGCUUACACAAGAAAUGGUUGACGACUGUGAUCCUGCCCUGAUGUUCACUAUUCCCAGGUUGGCUAUAGUUAGUGGCCUACUAAUUUACCCAAACGGACCAUUAUGUAUUGAUCGACCGAUGGACAAGAUGAGCGAAAUGUUUCGCCCUUUUCGGACGUUACUGCAUAAAAUACGGGAGCUUUUAUGGAUUUUAAAUAAGAGGGAGUUAUUUAUGCUGGAGAAAUUGCUUUGCGAUAACGAGCAACUGGAUGGAGUGAGGUCGGUUAAUGUCCAGAUCAACGAUGAGGAUUUCGAGCAGUUUUACAACGAUUUUCCCGUGUAUCAGGAUUUAAUGUUUAAUUCGUUUGAAGAAAGCGUCACGCCUACAGAGGAGACGCCUCAGAAGAAAAUUGUCACUGAGAGCGAUUUGGUGUUGGAUGGACCGUCCACCUCUGGGUAUUUGAUUCCGAAGAAUGUAGUUAGGAAUACUAUAAUUGCGUCCUCUGCGUCACCGAAUCCUAGAGGACAGGCUUCGUCGGUGGAGUCUCCUCCAGACCACGACUCGCUGGAGGUGAUCUCAGCCGCCGCGGCCACCCUUUCUUCCAUAUUAACUAUCAACGAAUCUGCCUCGCCUAAAAAAACUCUUAACGAUCCCGAGUCGCCCGACGACUCGGGCAUUUGCACAGAAACCACCAGCUUAGAUCGAUCGCCUAGUUUAGAAAUAUCGGAACACAAAGACUGCCAGCGCAAUAGUCCCUGUAAAAAAUCCGCACUGAGACACAGAAAGACGCAGAGUUGCCUUAAGAAAAGUCCCUGUGGGAGACAACGGAGUCCUGUUAACGAUAUAACCAAUAGCGGCUCGAGUAGUAGUUCGGAAACGUCUAGUUUCAACAGUAAUUCGGCUGAUGACGAGGAGAUUGCUUAUGCUAUCAAAGCUGUCGAAAUGGCGAAUCGGGAGGAACUUAGGGCUAAGUAUAGAUCGAGCGAAGACCUGAUCCACCGCCUUUUCGUCUGCAUCGCCGGAGUGGCGGAUCAGUUACAAACCAACUUCGCGUGCGACCUACGCAACAUCCUCAAGUCUGUAUUCCUGAUCAACGCAUCGGACUCCAACGAACAGCCGCCGCCUCUUGUAAAAACCCCCGACACCCACUCGCUGGACACUUCGAUCGAGUACCACCCCAGCGAAGACGAGGUGAUCGAGAACAACGAGUUUUCUGUCGAUCCGAACAUUUUGGCCCAAGAAGCUCUCUUCGACACCAACGUGUACUUCCACUUGGACAGCGAGAAUUGUCCCGGUUCGGAUGCCUAUACGAACCAUCCUAGACAGUACCAUGACAUAGACGAAAGUCUUAGUGCGGAUUUGACUCGUUUCGCGUCGAUUCAAGAAAACGACCGCUCGAGACAAGAGAGGGACGCAGAAGAACCUCCGCCCUCUGACGAGGUCAACGAAAGACUUCAGGCGCCUCCCGUUUGGAUUCCGGACGUUCAAGCGCCGAAAUGUAUGAGUUGCGGCUUAAACUUUACUGUGAUGAAGAGGCGGCACCACUGUCGCAACUGCGGUAAAGUGUUUUGUGCGCGUUGCUCGUCCAAUAGUGUGCCUCUGCCCAAGUUUGGAUUGGUGAAGCCGGUACGGGUGUGCAAUAAAUGUUUUAUGUUUAAUCUGACGCCGUUUACGAUUCACUGAUCGGGUCGCGUUCUUGGAUUCCUUGGAGGUUCUUAAAGGUUGUGCUUCUUAUAGUUCUCACUACAAUAUCCAAACCACUUGGCUUCGCUAGUAUCCAAAAAUGCAUGCAGUCCCACAAAACUCUUCCCACUACCAAACUGAAUUAUUACUUGUUCAAUGUCGACUCUAAGGAAUCCGAGAAGACCAGCGCAAUGUUAAACAGUGCAUAGGCAUACUGUACUUACGGUUGUGAGAUUAUUUUUUUAUAAGAAUAUACACAUUGUUAUCUGCCAGUGUUGAUUUACCCUGACUAUAUGCAGUUUUGCUCAGGCGUUGCCUCCAAAUUAGGUUUUGACUUCAUAAAAUAUUAUCUGUGACGAAAAUACAAUUUAUGACUUGUAGACGUUUUGUACGGAGGUUAAUAACCUUUUAUUAAGUAUUUUUUAGAAGCCUGGGAUAAAAGUCUUGUAUAUGAUCGAAAAUGUCAAUAUAUGCUACUAUUUA